rnacentral:rRNA from 1 species
AUUGAACGCUGGCGGCAUGCCUUACACAUGCAAGUCGAACGGCAGCACGGGAGCAAUCCUGGUGGCGAGUGGCGAACGGGUGAGUAAUAUAUCGGAACGUGCCCAGUCGUGGGGGAUAACGUAGCGAAAGCUACGCUAAUACCGCAUACGAUCUAUGGAUGAAAGCGGGGGAUCGCAAGACCUCGCGCGAUUGGAGCGGCCGAUAUCAGAUUAGGUAGUUGGUGGGGUAAAGGCUCACCAAGCCAACGAUCUGUAGCUGGUCUGAGAGGACGACCAGCCACACUGGAACUGAGACACGGUCCAGACUCCUACGGGAGGCAGCAGUGGGGAAUUUUUGGGACAAUGGACGCAAGUCUGAUCCAGCCAUUCCGCGUGCAGGAUGAAGGCCCUCGGGUUGUAAACUGCUUUUGUACGGAACGAAACGGUAAGCUCUAAUACAGUUUGCUAAUGACGGUACCGUAAGAAUAAGCACCGGCUAACUACGUGCCAG